UAAGAUUAACUUUUUUGAAAUCUUGACUAUAAAAUUCCAAAGAAGAUUAUAAAACAAAAAAAAUGAAGUUUCCAUUCCUGAUUUGUCAAGUUACUUUCAUUUUAUUGUUUGUCUAUAUUCAUCCCUUAUAAGAUUAAUUUGUUUAGGUAAUUGAUUUUUGCAGGCAAAUUUUUUAAUUUUUACACUUCAAAAUAUGAGUACAGAAAUCAAUAGAAUCACUUCUCUUUUUGUUUAAUAUAUUGACUACAAAAACCAAAUGAAAUGAAAAUUUCAAAAUGAAUUCUAGGGAAACCAUCAAACGGGCCUGGCCCACCACCACAUAGGGUUUCCGAGAGACUCUCUAUCUUCAAUCUUCAACCAUCUUCAUAUUCUUCAAUCAAUCAAACAUUUGAUUCGGUCUUCUUCAAUCUUCAACUGUAUUCGUCAAUCUUGAAAUAUCUUCGUCGAUUUUCAACCGUCGUCUUCAGUCUUCAACCAUCUUCAUAUUCUUCAAUCAAUCAUACAAUUGAUUCAUAGAUCAAUCGAUUCGCUCACCCAUAUUCGUCGGGGUUCGCAACCUCGCGAUGCUUGGAGACCUAAAGAGUUUCGGAUUAGUCGCCGAAUCCCUGGACGAAAACCCUCUGACUAUGUCGUCGAUUAGUACCACUUCUUCGUCUUCAACACCAAAAUCGCCAAACAGAUAGUCCGUUCCGAUGCCUCGUCUUCAAUCUUCAACCGUAUUCGUCAAUCUUGAAAUAUCUUCGUCGAUCUUCAACCGUAGUCUUCAAUCUUCAACCAUCUUCAUAUUCUUCAAUCAAUCAUACAAUUGAUUCAUAGAUCAAUCGAUUCGCUCACCCAUGUUCGUCGGGGUUCCCACCCUCGCGAUGCUUGGCGACCUAAAGUGUUUUGGAUUAGUCGCCGAAUCCCUGAACGGAAACCAUUUUAAAGUCUGGAAACCAUUUUAAAGCGUGCAGAAGGAGACCACCGAGAUAUGUAUACGUAAUGUUGUUGAUGUUGUUUCACCUAAAUCCUUAUUAUUAUCUCGUUGUAAAAUUUUUUCGAGUUAAUAAUAAUUUCUUUGCCGAUCAAAAAAAACGGAGACCACCGAGACCGUGUUUGAUGUCCUAGAGGAUGACAUAUUUAUAUGUCUUUUGUUAUUGUGUAAAAAAAAUAUAAAUAAGCACAAAUAUUCUUUUAUUUAGUAGAUACUAGUAAUUUUUCGUGCCUACGUAAAAAAA
rnacentral:lncRNA from 1 species